rnacentral:rRNA from 1 species
AUGGAUCCGUCGGCGGCAGGACCUGCGCCACCACGGGCCGCCCCGGGCAGAGGGGCGGACCCAGCGGAGCAGCGCAGGCGGUGGUGCGGGAUCACAGUCCGCGGGGCCCUCGUGAUGCUCUUCCCCAUCGCCGUGUCAUUCCUCUUCUCCUUUCUCUUCGGCAUCGCUGGCCUCCUCCUCGGCGGGCUCUCCUCCAACGCGUCCGUCUCCAUGCCCUCCACCUGCCGCAUCCUCUCUACCGGCCUGGACAUUCGGUCAUCUAAGGUUUGCGAGCUUGGACUGUUGAACUAUAAAGCUAAGCAUGUAUUUUACCCCUCGAGUAAUCGAAGAUUCCGCUGCCAUGAUGACUAUUACUGGGCUUCAGUUUUUGAGGUUGAAUACACAAAAUAUUUUUCUGGUCAAACAUCUUAUGCAAUGGCAGAAGCUCCAAAAGAGGCUCUUCCUCACAAUUGCCGGCCUGAUUUUGGUGCUGUAUGGUCAACAGCAGCAAAGCUCAAGGUCAAUGAAUCAUACAAGUGCAGGUACACACUGGGGAGCACCAAAGCUGACAUUUAUUCAGACAAGCUAUUCAAUUGCACUGCUGAGGAUCCUUCAAUAAUUGAAAUGCUGAAAAGGAUUUUUGUACUGUUUUCAAAGUUCUGCAAGUCAAAAGAUUUCAGUUCGUGGUGGAUGCUUGGAUAUGCGGCAGCAGGGGUUGUGGCGGGCAUGCUGAGCUCUAUACUCAUCACCGUAGCAGUAAGAAUCCUCCGAGGAGUGUUCCUUGCUGCCGCCAGGCGGGCUGUGAGCAACCAUAGCAUCAGGGUGUUUGCUUACCGUUUCAAGCGGGCGUGCCUUCUUGUUGCAUAUAUAUCUUUCGUUGGCUGGAUCACCUUGCAGUACAGCAAAAUGGUUGGGCUGAAGGAGCUUGUGCUGGACUUCAAACUCUUGGAGAGGUUCUUGUAA